rnacentral:piRNA from 1 species
UGAUGACCAGGCUUGAUUUGCUUGU